UAGUAUAGCACUAAGUAGUGGGUGUAAGAGGCGGAGUUUUCCUUCUGAUCUGGGUGUUGGAAAACGAUACUUUUAGCCUAAGUGCUGACUAACAUUUGGCACCAGGCCAAAGGUGCUGGAACUGAGGGCUAGAAGCCAACACAAACACAGAUGAUUUAAAAAAAAAAAACCCAACAAGGGAAGUUAAGAGGAAAAAUAAAUAUUUUCUGAAGCAAGAGGAACUAUGGAACUAUUCAACAUUACAAAUUAUUUCCAGAUAAGAAAAUUACUUUUGUAAGAAAAAGAAUGAAAUUCAAGAUGAAGGUCUAUCAUACUCCAAAUAUCAUGUUUGUGGGAGGCAGUAGGUCAGGGAGCUAAGGAUGCUGGGGUUCAUGGUUUGGGAAAAAUAUUUUCAUCAAUUGCUAGGGUAUACAAUGUGUCCAUUCUGAGAUAAUCUCUAGAAAACAGUAAUGUAUUACUAGAAUUUUAUUUUUAAAAAUAUGUCAAUAACAACAAGCUUAGUUUUUUCAUACCUCACCAUUUUAAUACUCUGAAAUUUCAAUGCUGACAUCAGACAGAAAUAAAGUUAUCAUAGAAAAGGAUAUUUUCAUGCACCCUGUCCUACCAUCUGAGUUUACACUCUAUUCCAAAAAACUUCCUAGCACUAAAACUGUUGAUUUACUACACUAAAAUUGAGGAAAUCUCCGGUUCUCUCUCCUGGUUCUUUAUGCCUUAGCCUUUUCAUUUGUUAAAUGGAAUGCCUACUUUUUUUUUUUUUUUAACAGAGUUCCAGAACCACAUAGUAGACAAAAACAUGGACUUUUAAAUCUGACAGACCUGAGAGGGGAGCCUGGUCCUGCCCAGCCUUUAUCUUCAGUGGCCUUCAGCAUUUGCUUGACUUCUUUGUUUCUUGGCUAUAAAAUGGAGAAAAAUUUCAACUUCAAAGACUUCUUCAAGAAUGAAACAGGCAUGAAAGUCACCAAGAUCUCCCAUAACUAUGAGACAGAGAGAGAGAAAGAGACAGAGAAACAGAAGAGGAGCAAGAGAAAGAGGUAUCUUUCAAAGGUGGUAACUGUAUAACAGUGACUAAAAGCUGAGACCAGCAAAGAGAUCAUCUGAAAGUUCCUCUAGAAGCAGGGGAGUAUGUGGGGAAAGGUGCUUGUAUACCUCAAAUACUGUGGUACAAGAAUGCUGUGGUUCCUCAAAUGCUGUGAACAAGGAAGGACAACCCUACUUGCUCCCAUCUUUCCUUUCCAAGGCAUAAUUUUUUCUCUGAAGAGCAUGAGAAAGCAGCAAGGGCUGAAAUUUUUCUAUUAACAAUCCAUACCUAUAAUUUCACUUACAGUUUUAUGCUUUUUUCUUUUUUUGGGGGGGGAAGGGGCAUCCUCUGUACCAUUCAGUUGACCGCAACACAUAUUUAUUGUCACCCUGUUUUAUGCUAUGUGCUGGAGAUACAACAGAGAGCAUCAAGAAAGUACCAAAUUUUUGAAGUCUGCAGUCUAUCAGGGAGUCACUGCCUGGAGAAAAUUGGUCAGUAAAAUUUCCUGAUUUUGUCUGGGAGUGCUCUAUAAUGUAAGUUUCCUUGAGAAGAAAAAGGACAUGGAAAGAAAUAUAAUCCAGAAUGCCCUUGGAAGGCUUUGGAUGAGGGAGGUAUUUUGUAUUGAUUAAAGGCAAUGAGACAUUUAGGCAAGGAAAAGGAAAUAGAAGGCAUCAAAAUUGGAAAGGAAAAACUUAAAUUAUAUCUGUUCAAAGAUGAGAUGAUCUUAUAUAUAGCAAACUCUAAAACACACACACACAUACUUGUUAGGAGUUAAUAAGUGAAUUCAGCAAACAUCCAGGAUACAAAAAACAACACAUAAAAAUCAGUUAUGACUUUAUACACUAAUGAUGAAUAAUUCAAAAAAGAAAAUUAAGAAAACACUUCCAUAUAUAAUAGCAUCAAAAUAUUUUUUAAGGAUCUUUGAGUUUAGGGAGACAAAAGAUUUGUACAUUAAAACUAUAAAACAUUACUGAAAGAAUAAAGAAUAUACACAUAAAUGAAAAGACA
rnacentral:lncRNA from 1 species